UAACCUACCUUGAUCAGGGGGAUAGCCUCUCGAAAGAGAGAUUAAGACCGCAUAACAUUGCAAUGUGGCAUCACAAAGCAAUCAAAUAUUUAUAGGAUCAAGAUGGGCAUGCGGAACAUUAGCUAGUUGGUAAGGUAACGGCUUACCAAGGCUACGAUGUUUAGGGGAUCUGAGAGGAUGACCCCCCACACUGGUACUGAGACACGGACCAG
rnacentral:rRNA from 1 species